CAGUCGCCGCGGGAAUACGAAGGGGGCUAGCGUUGCUCGGAAUGACUGGGCGUAAAGGGCGCGUAGGCGGAUUGCGCAGUCAGAUGUGAAAUUCCUGGGCUUAACCUGGGGGCUGCAUUUGAGACGCGUAGUCUAGAGUGUGAAAGAGGGUCGUGGAAUUCCCAGUGUAGAGGUGAAAUUCGUAGAUAUUGGGAAGAACACCGGUGGCGAAGGCGGCGACCUGGUUCAUAACUGACGCUGAGGCGCGAAAGCGUGGGGAGCAAACAGGAUUAGAUACCCCGGUAGUCCCUGUCUCUUAUAC
rnacentral:rRNA from 1 species